GGCGGCGACAAGAACAGCCCAGCACCGAAGCCUGUUAAUAUAAAGUUUUUGUAUUAAUAUGCAAUGUGGUGUUUGGGAGAGCUCUAUACCAACAUUUUUUAUAAUAUUGUUCAAGUCCUUCUUGAAUGGGGCCACACUUCCACAGAGGGUGCCAGGCCCGUAGAACUUUUAAUUUAUUAUGUUGGUGAGUUUCUCCUUAGAGUCGAGUUGCUUGAGAGUGCAGCUCUAAGUAGGUGGUACACUCCAUCUAAGGCUAAAUAUAACCACGAGGCCGAUAGCGAACAAGUACCGUGAGGGAAAGUUGAAAAGAACUUUGCAGAGAGAGUUCAAAAGUACGUGAAACCGUUUAGAAGUAAACCUGUUAUGCUUCAUUAAUUUGUAAACGAUAUGCAGAGAGAUUCAACAUGCUUUACCGAUUACAACACUGCAUUAAUUAUUUUUGUGUUAUAUGUAGUAAUUCUAUUACAUGUACGCAAUUUUAUAUUUGAGACGAUGCAAUAUAUAUUAUUAUUAUAUUAUACGUUAUUUACCUUUUGUUUUUUUCUUUUUGUAUUAAAGCAAAAGGCGUUUCAUUAUUAUAUAAAUUUAGAUAUGUAUAUUAUUGUUCGCUCAAUUUUUGUAUUGUCUAGUUUGUAUCGGAGCUGUGCACUUCUCUCUGUAUGUUGCGUUGCGACACGUUAUAUGUAUCGUUUUUCUAUUUGUGUUAUAAAUAUAUAUUAUUUGUCUUAUUUUUGCGUGAAGGGGCCUACAAAGAUUUAGUUACCUGGGAAUUGGAAAUGGUUAUGCGUUUUUUCUUCCCAGGACUUGUAGUGUCCUAACGAUCAAUGUAACGUUAUAGCAUUAUAUAAAAUAAUGUAUCCUAAAUUGUAUGUGAUUGGAUAUCAUUUAUUUUCUGUCAGCAACGUAUAUAUUUGAAAUUUAGAAGAGUAAUAACAGGACCCGUCUUGAAACACGGACCAGGGAGUCUAGCAUAUUUGCAAGUUAUAGAGUUCGAAUUAAAACUCAUAGACACAAUUAACGUAAAGAGUGUAUGCACACGCACAUCUACGUACGCGCGUGUAUGUGUGUGUGUGUCACUAAGGGAGGAUAGGUAGGAAAUAUUUGAAAACUACCUCGCACUCCUAGGGCGUUCCGUAUAAAUUUUUGUUCGAAUAGUAGUAUUUGUUAUGAAAAUUUGGGGCGCACCAAGAGUAUAUACGCUAGGACCCGAAAGAUGGUGAACUAUGCCCUGGUCCAGGAUGAAGUCCGGGG
rnacentral:rRNA from 1 species